UUUCUUUGAUCCCUUCUAGUUAUAUUUCAUCAUUUUGUAGCUAAAUCUAUCAUUUAAAAUUCGAAUUGAGGAUAAAAAAAAUUGGAAAAAUUGGGUGAAACUUCAUAGGCUAAACUAUUGAGUUUUGAAUGGGCAUUUUACCUCCGAUUUGGGAGAUUUUUAUAUGGUUAGACUCGUGAGAGUACGGGGGUUCUGAAAAUGUAAAAAUUAACUGAUUUCGAGACGUUAUCCUGAGGGGCAAUUUGGUUAUUUUACCUAUUUUCGCGCCUUAGCUCUAAAUUUAAUAGUGGAAUCAGUUGUUUGCAAUGUUAUUUAUGAUAUGUAACAUAAUUGAAUAGAUUUGGGCCAUUUAGAGUCGGAUAUUCGUGGCAAAUGCGUGGUUCCUAGUUGAGUUUGAGCCGGUUCAAGGUAAGUGGCUUGUCUAACCUUGUGUGGGGGACCUUUUCCUUUAGGAUAUAUUAUUUGGUAAUUGACUGCCAUGUACGUGAGGUGACGAGCGCGUACUUGAGCUAAUCAUUGAAAAUUCGGGUUUUACUUAAGAUAUUGAAACUGAGUUUUCUCUCGUAUUUGCUUUAUCUUACUUGUAAUUAUAACCUGUGUUAGAUUAGAAAGACAUGUUAAGUUGAUUUAACCUGCCUACUUGCUUAAAUUGCCUUAACUGCACUGCGUGAGACAUGUUAGGCUAGAACUAUCUGGUGCUUGUAUUGUUGUACUUCAUUUAUGAAUAUUCUCUGAUUGUGGUUGCGCAUUUACAUUUGGACUACGGAUUAGAUUCUCGGGAGAUCCCCCUGUAUAUUUACUUUGGGACUACGAGAUAGAUUCUCGGGAGAUCCCCCUUGUAUAUUUACUUUGGGACUACGGGUUAGAUUCCCGGGAGAUCCCCCUGCAUAUUUACUUUGGGACUACGGGUUAGAUUCCCGGGAGAUCCCCCCUGCAUAUUUACUUUGGGACUACGGGUUAGAUUCCCGGGAGAUCCCCCCUGCACGUUUAUGGAAUGGGCUACAGGACGGUAUCCUGAGAGAUCCUCGUUAUUAGUAUUGAUAUAUAAAUGGACUACAGGGCGGUAUCCAGGGAGAUCCUCGUUAUUCGUAUUGACAUGGAAAUGGACUACAGGAUGGUAUCCUAGGAGAUCCUCGUAAUUGGCACUAAUAUUGAACUGUUUUACUUUAUGUUAUGUUAUCCUCGAUGUGUUGGUUGUUGUUUGUGUAACCUGACUUACUUCACAGUUGUAUUUCCAUUAUUUCUGCUUACUGUAUACUGUUGUCAGCAUUCUUAUUGUAUUGUUUAAUCUCAGUAGGUCACUGACCUUCCUCGUCACUAAUAAGGCUUGGCACUUACUGAGUACUGUUGUGGUGUACUCAUGCCUCUUCUGUGCAUGUUUUUUAUGUUCAGACCCAGGUAUUUCUUAUUAGGCGCACUAUUCCCGAGGCAGAGACGUCUAGUAGAGACUUCGAGGUACAUCUACCGCAUCCGCAGACCAGGAGUCCCUAUCUUAUUCUAGCAUUUAGUAGAUAGUUUUCCCCUUCUUUCAGUUGCUUAGACAUUCUACAGUUAGAGCAAUAUAUUACAUUUCUAUUAGCCUGCGUUGCCCGUGAGUUUUCGGGUUUUGGGAUGAGAUUGUAGACUUCAGCGUUUUAUUGUUGAGUUGUAUAUGCCAAGUGGCACUUAUAUACCGUUUUCUUCUAGUUUUGCUUAAAUUUAUUAAAUGUUCCGCAAGUUAUAUUAUAUUUCUGCAUUGUUAGGCUUACUUAGUUGUAGGAACUAGGUGCCAUCACGACAUGUUCAUGGAGAGUGAACUGUAGAUCGUGACAUUAUUAUUCGUAUAUGUGUAAUCAAUCUUAGGUCUUCAUAUGUCUUGCUAUAGAGAACAAUUAUGCUUUAAAUUCUGAUAAAGAUUAUACCAUGCAUAAUUUUUUUCCUAUGAGUGAUUAGACUUGUAUCAGGCUUGAUGCUGUAGACAUAAUACGCACUUUGAUUAGCUGCCUUGAAGGUUAAUUUUAAUAUUGAAACUGGCUGCUUAAAUAAAUUCUAUUAUUGAGGUCAGCCAGUCUGAUUGUGCACUAAGGACUUACCGACAAUGUUCAUAGAUUUCUUUAGUUAAAUGACAUACUGUACUUAAUCAUAGCAAAUUGCUAUUCCAUUUAUUUCAGCUUAAGAUCGAUUAUGCGAGUGCUUUCGUACACAAUAUAGCAAACGUUAUAAUAGGUAGUUGUGGACCAUUGUCAAAACAAGUUUUGCAUUUGGAAUAUAUGUGAAGAUGGAAUGUGUCUACUUGUUGGAUCAGGAUGUGGUUUGCAUUUGGAGAAUAAGCCUAUAAGAUGAUAUCUCUCUAGGAUUUUUGCAGGUGAUUUUGCUCCUUUUUCUGUGAUUUUGCUGAUGUCAAUACUUUUUUUGCACUACAAAGAAGAAGAACAAUUACAAUAUGGAGAAAAAAUUACCUUUCGUGAAUAUAGAUACCCUCAUGAAUGUAAAAGUUGUCACUUUCGAAGUAAAAUGUAUCUAUUUUUGUCGAUAUGUAAAUUACUAUAUGUUUAUUUAUGUAUAUUUAGUAUUCUCAUGGAUGUGAAUAUUGUGCCACUUUCUAAUGAUGCCUCAAUUUCUAUCUCUUCUAUGCAAUUUCGUAUCAACACAAAUUAAUCACAAAUAGUAAUUCCAUAUUCUACAGUAUUUGGUCGUGCUAUGCACGGCCAGCAACCAUCUAGUU
rnacentral:lncRNA from 1 species